GGAAAGUAAAUUAGAAAUUGCCACACUGGAAGAUUUUGGAAUAGUAGAAUUAUACCCAAAGGCUAACAAUUAUUUCUCAACUAUGGAGAAGAUAAGGAUGAUCAGGAAUUCAAUGUGAUGUGGGAUAGGAUCUUGGAUCAUCGUUCUUUUUGAUCUUCUUAGCCAUGUCAUACCUAAAGAAGAAGGAUGCUAACAGCUCUUGAUGAGGAAAU